rnacentral:lncRNA from 10 species
UGUAAUCUACCCUGGAUUAUACUAGUCUUCAUACUAAUUCAGUAGUAAAUAUUUUUAAUAUUUCUUCAUGGAGGAAGAGCCCCAGAAAGGCUAAAAUGCCUAGAACCCAGACAAGACAUCCCCAUACAGACAAGGAUUGGAAGACCACACUAUCCAAAGUUUGGGGGUCACACAGUGUUCACAUAGUGUCUUUUCCUGCUUCAAUCUCCCCCAUGGGUGGUGAGGUUAUGAAGACCAGAGCUGAGGUUUGAACACGGGGUUUAGGCCAGGUGCAGUGGCUCAUAUCUGUAAUCCUAGCACUUUGGGAGGCUAAGGCAGGAGGAUCACUUGAGAGCAGAAUCUGAGAGACUCAGGGCCAAGUGUGCCUGGCCAUAGCUAACACUUGGGAAUUAGCCAGCUCAACAGCUUUAGGCUUUGACUGAAUUUCUUAGGCAGAGCACAUGUGGGGCCAAAAUAGGGCCAUACUGGGAGUCGCCGGUGGAUGGACA